rnacentral:lncRNA from 1 species
AUUAUACUACUACGAAUUAAAUAACUAGUCCAAUCCGUUCUUCUUUUUCCCUUAUUCUCAAUCCUACUUUCAGUGGAGCAACAAAAGCAGAUCAAAACCAAGCGGCCACUUCAAAUUAUAUAUCCACUCUUUUUCUCAUACUAACAUCUAUAUAUACAAUCCCCAUUUUUUCCACUCAAAAGCAACUUCAUCUAUCAAUCCUCAUUACUCUCAAUCUCAUCAGUUACCACGAUCUCUUUUUUUAGCUCUAAUUAGCUGAUAAAUAGUUAAAGAAAUUAACUAAGAUGGAGGCCAUGCAAUCUUGGAUUUCUGAGCACAAACUCACCAGCAUUGGUUAGUCUUCAUUUUCUUUCUUAAUUGUCAAAUUCAUUUUCAUUUAUAUUUCCAUCGUCUAAAAUAUUCAAAUGGGUUUCCUUUCCACUUACAGGGACAUUCUGGGCUACUGUUGUUGGUGCUUCACUAGCUUACUCAAGUGCCAGAACGCCAUUUAAGCCAAGUCUUAGGCUCAU